rnacentral:rRNA from 1 species
UACAGAGGGUGCGAGCGUUGUCCGGAAUCACUGGGCGUAAAGGGAGUCUAGGCGGUUUGGUAAGUGGGAUGUGAAAUGCCCGGGCUCACCCCGGGACCUGCAUCCCAAACUGCUGAGCUUGAGUACAGGAGAGGGUGGGGGAAUUCCAGGUGUAGCGGUGAAAUGCGUAGAUAUCUGGAGGAACACCGGUGGCGAAGGCGCCCACCUGGCCUGCUACUGACGCUGAAGCUCGAAAGCUAGGGGAGCAAACGGG